UAUUAUAAGAGUUUGAUCCUAGCUCAGGAUGAACGCUGGCGGCGUGUCUAAGGCAUGCAAGUCGAACGCACGUUAUGGUGCGUGGCAAACGGGAGAGUAAUACUUUGGUAACCUACCUCUUAGUCGUGAAUAACUUCUUGAAAAAUUAGAUAAUACACGAUGGUCUGGAUUUUCAUAUGAAAGUCUAGUAAAGAUUUAUCGCUAAGAGAGGGGCCUAAGGCCUAUCAGCUUGUUGGUGAGAUAAUAGCCCACCAAGGCAACGACGGGUAGCAGGUGUGAGAGCAUGACCUGCCCCAUUGGGACUGAGACACUGCCCAGACACCUACGGGUGGCUGCAGUUAAGAAUAUUCCACAAUGCACGAAAGUGUGAUGGAGCGACGCCGCGUGAAUGAUGAAGCCCUUCGGGGUGUAAAGUUCUUUUAUUAAGGAAAAAUUUUUGAUGUUACUUAAUGAAUAAGGGGCUGCUAACUUCGUGCCAGCAGCAGCGGUAAUACGAAGGCCCCGAGCGUUAUCCGGAUUUACUGGGUGUAAAACGUCUGUAGAUGGUUUGAAAAGUUAAAUGUAAAAUCUUUUAGCUUAACUAAAAACUUGCAUUUAAUACUGUCAUAACUAGAGGACGGGGGAAGUAAGUGGAAUUCCCGGUGUAGUUGUAAUAAGCGUUAAUAUCGGGAAGAACACCAAAAGUGAAAACAGCUUACUAAAACGUUCCUGACAUUGAGAGACGAAAGCGUGGGGAGCGAUACGGAUUAGAUACCCGUGUAGUCCACGCCCUAAACGAUGAGUGCUAAGCAUUGGAAGUAUCGACCCUUUCAGUGCUGUUAUAUUCAAGCUAACGCCUUAAGCACUCUACCUGGGGAGUACGACCGCAAGGUUAAAACUCAAAGGAAUUGACGGGGACCCGCACAAGCGGUGGAGCAUGUGGUUUAAUUCGACAAUAAACGGAGAACCUUACCAAGGCUUGACAUUUGCAGAAUCCUUUGGAAACAGAGGAGUGCUCGCAAGAGAGCUGUAAAACAGGUGCUGCAUGGUUGUCGUCAGCUCGUGCUGUGAAGUGUAUGGUUAAGUCCAAUAACGAGCGCAACCCCUAUUGUAAGUUACUAUGUCUUACGAAACUGACCACUUCAAGUGGUAGGAAGGUGGGGAUGACGUCAAAUCAGCACGGCCCUUACGCCUUGGGCCACACACGUGCUACAAUGGGUAAGAACAAAGGGUAGCUAAAUCGCAAGAUGGAGCUAAUCCCAGCAAAAUCACCCUCAGUUCAGAUUGAGGUCUGCAACUCGACCUCAUGAAGUCGGAAUCGCUAGUAAUCGUGGGUCAGCACACCACGGUGAAUACGUUCUCGGGUCUUGUACACACCGCCCGUCACGUCAAGAGAGCUGGUAAUACCCGAACAUCGAUGUUAAAUCAAUGGAAGGUAGGAUCAGUAAUAGGGAUGAAGUCGUAACAAGGCAGGGGUAGCGGAAGCUGUUCCUGGAUCACCUCCUUU
rnacentral:rRNA from 1 species